rnacentral:lncRNA from 1 species
UCUUAGGCCACUGGACAAUGGGGAUGCCUGUAAGUGCCAGUUUGGGAUCACUGUUUGCGUAUUCUUCUAGCAGCAGCUUGACAUCAGCGAUGAGAGCAUCCUCGUCCUCGAUGCCAGUGGGAACGCACUUCUUGUGCAGAGGGAGUGACUCUAGCUUGUCUACCAGGCAGCGCAGCCCCUCCAGCUCAAACUGCGUCAGGUGCACCCUCCUGCUCUUGCGUGGACUGCCACCAUGUGGCUCCCAGGCCUGGCCAUUCUGGGAGCCUCGGCUAGAGUCAGAGGAGUCUAUAGAUGGGCUCUUCUUCAGAGCCGGCAGGCUGCUCCGGCAGCUCCUGCUCAGUUCAUCAUAGUCCACAUUGGCACCAUUGGCUACGGGGCUGGUAAGAACAGACCGUCUCGUGAUCGGUCUCCUUGGUUCCUUCCCUGCUGCAUCCUCUUCUUCCUCCUCCUCUUCCUCCAUGUUUACUGAGUCUGAGGAGCUCAGCUCCAUAUCUGCCAUGAAAGAGAAAGCAUGAGACAAGAUUCCAGUGGCCAAAUGGUCACAAGAAACAUUCAGUUUUUAAAGGAAUCCGCUCAGAUUUAUCCAGAUUUAAUUAGCUACUUCUUAAAGUCUUGUUCAGAAGUUUCUUAAAUGAAUUCCAAGCUUUCAGGGAAUCUAAACAAACUGUCAUUACCUGUAAUGAAAAUAACUGAAAAGUAAUAGUUUUUAACAAACUUAAGAUGGACGCUCAUAAUUCCUGUGUCUUUAGUAUGGUGAGACACAUCAUCAGUGAAGUGUAUUACUGGCACAACAGAUACACAUGGGACAAGACCAGAGAAAGGAUAGUGCAUAUGGCUGCUAGAAAGGAACAGCAAAACCCCUCCUUACUCCCAGUCACUCUGUGGAAGGCCAGGCCCGGGAUGUGGGAAACCUCUUCCAGGAGAUGACAGCAGAGUUGAAGUCCAGCUUUAUUUUGAGAGAGCUUGGCAUCACCAAUCUGGUCCUAGUACCUCAUCCUGCCCUCCUGAUGGGAGGCAGGGGAUGUGGGCUUUCCAGGUGACCACAAGGUCUCUGAACCUGACUGUGCAUAACAAAGCACCCUCCUUUGAGGCUAAAAAUAGCUGGGAGCAAUUCUCCGAUGUCCCCAAAAGGCUCUGGCCAUGAGGAAAGUGUCCAGUCAUGGGUAUUUAGAUCCUUUCCGAGGAGUGAGAACAGAUUUGUUCCAAGGCCCUUGGGCAGAGGCUAUCCAGCUCUUUCCCAAUCUCACGAAGGGUAUCUCUAGCAAAUAAUCUGAUCUGCUGCACAGGCUUUAAGGAGGCCAAACAUCUCUUUUGUGAGAGAGACCCUCUUGAAGAUCAUCUGACAAAGCUCCUCAAACUCUGCAUGCAGGAAGGCCCUGAUCAGCAAGAAAGCAUUGCAGCCCUACAGCGAGGCGUGGUUACCCUCUGCUCUUCUGUUACAGGCUUUGCAUGUAUGAGCAAGGCCAGAAACCGGUCUGCUGGUUUUGCAGCUGCAAGGAGCCCGGCCUGACACAAGAGCAAAGGAGGAAGCAGUCUGCCCUCUGAUUGCUUGGUACAGCAGACAGGGAAAUGAGAGGAAACACCCAGAGAAACCACCCUGUGAAAUGGAGGAAGUGAGGGUCCCAGGUUCUAUUCCACACAGCCCUCCCUGCCUGCCACACAGACCUGCAGCAGCAUGCGAGAAAAAGGAACAGGGGCUGGAGAGGAGCUCACCCAUGCUGAGUGAUUCCUUCUGGAAGUCCUUGGUGAGAUGUGAGCGGCUGGUGAUGCAGUAGACAUAGCGCUCCAGCACGUACCAACACAUCUCAUAAUAGAAGGGAUAACGAAACUUGUUUGGGACCUGCAGAAGAGGGAAGAGGAUCAGUUCAGACUGCCUUCUGCACAGGGCUGCAGACUGCUGUGCUGCCUUGAGCAAGCUCGAUCCCCUCCUGAGAGGCAGGAAAUACAUGUACAUGUGUAACAACAGCAUCCAUGCCAGAAGUCAUUCUCCAUGUGGAAGGAGAGCAGAGGCCAGGCAGAGCAGACACCAGGCACUUCUCACUUGCAAGUCAUUAACAUUAACAUUUCCUUUGUCUUUGUUAGGAUUGCAGCUCUCCACUGUGCUUCCCUCACAGGCCUCCCUCUCCUUAAUACAGGAGAGCAGCAGAUGCCACAGCCCAGGGCUGUCCUGAGGCUUCUCUGCAGGAGCCACAUCUCCACAAGAAACAAGGGACAGCACCCACUUGUCAACAGCACUCUUGGCUUGAGUUUUCUGGGAGCCUUUAGUUUCAGCCAUCUUUAUCACAUCAAAGUCCAGGAUCAACAUCAAACAGGAGCAGAAGGCAGAUGGCUAAGGGCACAGGCAUCGUGCUUGGAUGCACUCCCAAAGAACUGCUGCAGCCUUCCUUCUCCCUGGCUGCUUCGCCAGGGGAGAUCCCCAACAAACUCCCUGCAAUGCCUUCAACCCCUUGGAUGCCUGACAUCAGACUGGAGGUAGCAUGAAGGAACAUAGCAAGCCCUAACAUGUGCAGGCAAGGAGCUUGGGUGAGGGACAGCCUGUAGCACAUCUAGCAGGGGAGUUUCAGCAGUCUGUCAUGAGGUGAGAUGCAGCUUGCCUGCCUGCACACCACUUCUCCUGUGCCCUCCCUGCCAUCCUAAGAGGCUGCUUCCUCUCAGCUCUCCUCACCCGCGUGCGGUCUUCGAUGCUGUAGAUCCGGAGCUGCAUAGGGAUGUUGAAGCUGUGCAAGAAGUUGCCUCCAAAAACCAGUGUGUCCAUGGGAGUGUACACAGCAUGGAUCCAACCUUUGGGAGAAAGAGUUUGAAAAGUUCUGCUAAGUGACUAGGGGAGGUCAAAGUCUCACAACUACUUAAGUCCCUACUAAGUCAAUUCCUUUGAAAUCUCUUAUCAACUGCAGUCUUUAGAAAAGGGCUCUCAAAUCUGCAUAACUUCCAUGUUGCUCAGAUAGGCUUACUCUGAUAGUUAGGCUUUAAACCGUACCUAGGUGAGCUGUUAACAGAUUAGCCAUCGACCCAUCACAUCAGCCAGAGCUAGCAGCAGAGGAAGGAGAGGAUGGGACCAUCUGCAUCCCAACUCUUUGAGGAAGGCUGAGACUUGCUUUAGCAUAGCAAUGUCUAGUCCUCACAAAGCAUCACUACUGAAUUACUCAAUAUUCAGCUCACUUUACCCAUCUAGGAGCUAGAGGCAGAUUUAUACUUAAACACCUAAAUUCAUCUUCCCAAGGUAGCGAGUGUGCCCAUAUCUACCUCCCAUCCACAACUUUCUGUCAUUCCAGUCUCUCUGCCAGUUUCUUCCUAGUUGUGUUAUACUUAAAGACAUCAGCAGCACCAAGAACAGUCUCCCAGAGUUUAUUUAACAAUGGAAAAAAAACCCCUCAAAGUAAAAUCAAGUCGCAGUUCUGUUGUCUCAGAGGUUAAUACAGACAAGCCCAACAUUUUGUAGAUUCCUGCAUGGGCUCCCUUAGGCCAAAAAGAGUCAGUCAAGACACCAUGACUCUAAAGAGUCACUUGUGCAACCCCUGCUGCUUUCUGUUCCUGGUUCUGCUGUAAACUACAGGAACGUGUGUACAAUACAGCUAAUGCUUGCACUACUGUCACAGGAAACAGCAGGUUACAACAGCUUUUGCCAUCUGAGACAGCCUGAUGGACCUAACUUUUACGUGGUAGUUCUAUUUGAAGCCUUGAAAGGGAUCCCUGGAAAGGGGUCCAAUAAUCUUUCUCCUUCCAAGAGCGUGUUCCCAACUGCUAGGGCAUUUUACAGACAUCCCAACUCUGAAAGGCUGUGAGCCAGCUCCUGCCAACUAUUAACUCAGGUUGCUGUUUCCAUCCAACUCUGCAGCCCAUCUUUUCCACCUUUGCUGUUUUCUAGCACAGCACUGCAUUGAUGCAGUGCAAGACACUGCUGAUGCACUCCCAUUCGUUCUACUUUCUUAACCAACUCAGGCUUAGGAUUUCUCUUAACUUGCCUUAGGAAACUAUGCCCAAAAUGGAGGGAUCACCCAGGGAAAAGCGCCAGAAUCAGUGUUCUGCUUCCUUCUGUGGACCACUGUUAGCUUGGAGCUUUAAGAAUGUUCCCACUCUCAACCAUAAAGUCUCCUUGCCCAAGCCCUCUGUAAGGCUCUCAUCUGCCAGUCUAUCCAGAUUACUGCUUCCCAGCCUUAUCAGGUUUCAGGAUUUUCCAACAUUCACUUCUAGCUCUACACUUUCCAGUCUUCCCAUCUUCCCUAAUCAUAUACACUAACUCUCUUUCUUCCUUCAUGAUUUGUAUUCAACUCCACAGAGAUUUCACAAGAGAGCUGGAAAGCAGAAGAGCUGUGCUGUCUUGCAAAGCAGUGCGUGUUGGCAAUGAAGGCUGCCACAUGUCAGCAUGAUGGGCUUUGGGAAAGCCUCUUUUUGUAAUGAAAGACACACAGAGCCUUUUGGACACCUGUGUUGAAUGUGCAGUGCCAUGAGAGUCAUGUUUUGAAAGCCAACAAGCAAGAGAACAGAGCCACAUAACAUUGCCCUCUCUCUUCUACUCAUGAAAGAGAAAGCUAAGUUUUGUCUGUCCUGAUUCUGCUUGUGUCUUAAGGAGUUUCAGCCUCUUAGCACAAUCCUGGCAAAAGACAAGAUACAACUGCCCACCCAGCAGUACCUGAGGGGAUGACAAACGUAUAGCCCUGCUUGAGCUCGAUGCGCUGGCACUCUGACACCCUAUCUCCAAGAAAUAUGUCUCCCUGCUUCCCUGAGAGAAGCCAGUUUUCAUAGAGCUCCAGGUUCUGGGGUGUAGGAGGGAUCAACCAGAAGAUCUGCAAGUAAAGAAAACAAAUGUGUAAGUCACUGUACUGUUAAUAGCUACUGACUAUCCCCUGCUUCUCCUAAACCUGCCCUGCUCCCUCCCCAAAUAUCCAAAUAUCUUCCUCUUCCUACCCACAGAGGAUGCAGACCUGCAGAAAUCCCCAGCUGAGUAACCGAAGCAGCUGUCCCAUCUGAGAGAGCAAGCCACUCAACAAGGGUCUUUCUCCCCUGAUGCACCAAGCAUCAUUUCUAGACCAAGUCUGGGAUGCUCUGUAAGGCACUACUUACAAAGUCAAUGUCAGCAGACAGAAAACCCACUAAAGACAUGAGAGCACUGAAACAAAGGAGAUAUUUACUUGUCUCUUUCCGAAUGCUGAGAUGUUAUUCAGUUGAACUAGAGACUUGAAUUUCUCAGCCUUUGCACAGCAGGCUGGCCAGUAAAUAUCCACCCCUCUACUAGGCUCUUCAGACACUUGUCUUAUGAGAAAUCAGUGGAGCCACAAAUCAGAAUUAUGGGAGAGUCUGGCAGUUACAACUCCUUUGCAAGGAGAAGCAGGUUGAAAACCCAGAUUCUUCAAGUGGGACAGAGUUUGUUGCCUUCCCUAAUCUCAGCGUAAGUCAGUGGAGAAAGAUGGGAUAGUAUAAUUUCCCAGUAGCUGUCUAUGUAGCCAGUUUGUUCCCAUAGAUCUGUUCUCACCCGCUGCAGAAGACCCUUGAUGAAUUCAGCCCUAGAUGAUCGAUGGCUUUAACCAGAAGCUCCAGGACUCUUCCAGUUGCUCUCAGGGGCUAAGUUUAGGAGCUGGGUGCAUUUCACUGGGCAACAGAGGUGAGGCCUGCCUUUGGUAAAUUCUGUGCUAUAUGAUAUUUGUUUUGCUUAUAUGGCAUGCUGAGCUACCAUCAGAUUUCCCUGCUCUGACUGCACCAACUCACUCAUACAAUGUUGAAUCUGUUGUGUUGCUCUCCUGAGCAGCAGUGUAAAGUUUCCUUAACUACAGUACAGCUGACAAUAGCAGUUAGCAAAAAUUUAAACACAAGCUUUUCCAUGCUAUUAUAGCAGUACCACUGAAGCACAGACUGUAUCUGUGACAAUGGGCACAUCCAUCUAAUGGAUCUUUCCAUGGAUGAUCUGGAUGAUGGAUGAUCUCAUCCAUCUUACAGCAUCUGAAUUGCUACAGAUCUCUUCUCUGAAAGUGAACAGAUGCAACAAAUCCAACUAUAAGCAGAGCUUAAGGUGCAAUUCACCCUGCUAAGGCACCUUUACAGUUUCCCCUCCAGAUGGGCUUCCUUCAAACCAGGCUCACAUACAAUAUCAAGCUGGAGUAAGGGAUACCUGGCACAGAGAAAUUCCUGCUCGACUCUGACUGGAAACAACCAACUGGGGAGCAAAGUGGGCACAAAGUUUGUAACCUGGUGAACUUUAUCUCAACAGAAAUGGGGUUCAGUUUUCAAGUCUUGUACUGAUUCAGCUACAGGAAAUGACUACAGACAAGAAGCUCACAUCUGACAUGGUUGUUAGAAUCACAGAAUCAUAGAAUUGCUCAGGUUGGAAAAGACCUUCAAGAUCAUCAAGUCCAACCGCAACCCAACCAUCCUACCCUAACUCUAACAACCUUCUGCUAAAUCAUGUCCCUGAGUACCACAUCCAAACGGUUUUUAAACACAUCCAAGGAUGGUGACUCAACCAAUUCCCUGGGAAGCCUAUUCCAGUGCUUAACAACCAUUUCUGUAAGGAAAUUUUUCCUGAUUUCCAACCUAAACCUUCUCUGGCACAACUUGAGGCCAUUUCCCCUUGUCCUGUCACCAGCGAGAAGAGACCAGCCCCACUCUCACUGCAAUCACCUUUCAGCUAUUUGAAGAGAGCAAUAAGGUCUUCCCUCAGCCUCCUCCUCCACAGACUAAACAGCCCCAGUUCAGAACUACUUCUCACCAAAAAAACCCAAAACCAUUAAAAUAGAUUUUGUACUGAAAGCCUGUCCCUCGCCUUCAGUUUGAAAGCUUCUACUUUCAAAAUCACUCGAUGUUUUAAGGUAAUGCCCUCACACAUCUGUUGGCUAUUCAAAAAUCCCUGGACAAUUAAGCUUUAGGAGGCUCUCAUUCAUCUUUAGGUAUUUUUCUUUUGGUUGUUGCUGUUUGCACCACACCAAGAGGUGAUCAGUCAUGUAGCCAAAUGAACCCUCAGAAACUCAAGGCAUUGGAUGAAUGGGGUCAUUAUACUCUAUACCAUCCGGCCUUUUGUAAAGUUUCUCAGCAUCAUCUCUACAGCAUCUCUACAGGUUUUCAGCCUGUGCCUGGUGGACCUGUGAGUGCCUGAGCUACUUCUAAGAGCCAUACAUAAACAAGUUCAGGGUGAAAACACUUAAAUUCACUGUCUGGACCUGCAUCUUCAAGGAUCAACAAAAGACACUAAAAGUCAGUCUCCUAAAG